rnacentral:tRNA from 1 species
CGCCGGUUCGAGAGCAGCACGGUAGCUCGUCGGGCUCAUAACCCGAAGGUCGCAGGUUCAAAUCCUGUCCCCGCAACCA